CGGAGACACAUCUGGGUCCUCGUAGAGUACAGCUGGGAUAUCUGAGUAUUAAGGCACCACGGUGGCUAGGAGAUGUUCACUACCUCGCCUGGUAUGCAGGAGGUCGUCGGUUCAUCCCGACCCCUGACGCCCAUAUUUUUGAAGCAGCUUGUCAAUCUACUGCUGGAUGAAGACUUGCCCACGCAGUGCCAGUGAUGGGGAUUAUUGGACCAUACAUCACCACACCGAUCAGUGCAAGUUGGAGAAGAGGGGUCCAGUAAUGGUUAAGAUACCACUCAUCAGGGAGGGUUAGCCUUGGCCAGGAAUCGAUCUCAGGUUUCCGGGUUAACACCGGUGUGCGAACCACUUCGCCACUGCUCUCGGCUUCGCAACCGCACCCAUUGCAGAACCACCUGACACAUUUAUAUAAUAAAACAAACUGUGGAUGCAAUACAUUAUAAAUAGGGUAUUAUAUACAACAGCACACCAUUAAGCAAACGUUCACAUAAACAGCAUUUAAUUGGCUGGGAAAUGCUUCGCAAAUGAAACAAAAAUUCAUGGUGCAAAUGUCAUCGAAUUUGCCCGGUGUGGUGUCCACACUUGGGAGGUGGAUGGACAGCCGCGCACGGUGCAGUGUCAUGCAUCUUGCUGUGAGUA